UACGGGAGGCAGCAGUGAGGAAUAUUGGUCAAUGGGCGAGAGCCUGAACCAGCCAAGUAGCGUGCAGGAUGACUGCCCUAUGGGUUGUAAACUGCUUUUAUAGGGGAAUAAAGUGAGGUAUGUAUACCUUUUUGUAUGUACCCUAUGAAUAAGGACCGGCUAAUUCCGUGCCAGCAGCCGCGGUAAU
rnacentral:rRNA from 1 species